CUAGCAAAUUCAAAUCACACAUUUUGAUUAGGUUUAAAAAAUUAAUUAUAUGCAUAGAAAUAUACUCCAGACAACAAAUCCCGGCAUGCCCCUGAGCGGCCCGAGGUGGAGGGUUCUAGAAGGCGUGACGUGAGGUCGAGAGCGGGAUCCGAGGCUGGCGCCUUUCGGCAGUCGCUGUGGGUGCAGCUGCCGGGCCUCGGGACGCGGGCGGCCGAGGCCGCCGUCGCAGCCUCCUAGUCUCGCCGGCUAUGGCUACGCUCGGCCGGCCCUUUAGCGGCCUCCCUCUGAGCGGCAGCUCGGACUUCCUACAGCCGCCGCAGCCGGCCUUCCUCGACCGGGCCUUCCCGCCAGGGGCUGACGGCGCAGACUUGGCCCCGCGAUCGGGACCCCGCGCAGUCCCUAGCAGCCCCACCGGGAGUGCGGCGCGCGGACGUGUUUCUGUUCACUGUAAAAAGAAACACAAGCGAGAGGAGGAGGAUGAUGAUUGUCCAGUAAGAAAGAAAAGGAUAACUGAAGCAGAGCUCUGUGCUGGUCCUAAUGACUGGAUUCUUUGUGCACAUCAGGAUGUAGAGGGGCAUGGAGUAAAUCCCUGCAUUAGUGGCCUUUCCGUACCUGGGAUAUUAGAUGUUAUUUGUGAAGAAAUGGAUCAGACAACUGGAGAACCACAGUGUGAAGUUGCCCGAAGGAAGCUUCAAGAGAUUGAGGACAGGAUAAUUGAUGAAGAUGAAGAAGUUGAAGCUGACAGAAAUGUUAACCAUCUCCCCAGUCUUGUCCUUUCUGAUACCAUGAAAACAGGUUUGAAGAGGGAAUUUGAUGACGUUUUUACAAAGAAAAUGAUUGAGUCUAUGAGCCGUCCUUCCAUGGAGCUUGUUCUCUGGAAACCCCUCCCUGAACUCCUUUCUGAUAAGCCAAAGCCAUCCUCUAAUACUAAGAACUAUACAGGAGAGAGCCAAGCUAAGCAUGCAGCUGCUGGCACUGCCUUCCCUCAGAGAACUGAACUGUUCUUGGAACCUCGGCAACCAGGGAUGUCUCUUUAUAAUAGUUUGGAGACAGCUACUAGCACAGAAGAGAUGGAACUCUAGAAACCAAUUUCUACACUAAAGUUGUCAAAUGUUAGAAGAAUCCUGUGUUCAGUUAUGAGACUCUUUGCAUAGUAUAGAGACUUGAAAGUUUUAUGAAACGGGUGUAAUAAUAUCUCCACCUGUGAUUUGGGGGUGGGACUCUCAUUUUGGGUAGCCAUUUAUUGACUUCAACUUUUUGCCAAGGAAGUUUGUCUCAAAGGAAAAGCAGUUUUCUGUGGGGCUUAUUAAAGGAAUGUUGGUUUACAGUUUAAAAAAAAAAAGAAAUAUACUCCAGGCAGGGCACGGUGGCCCACGCCUGUAAUCCC